AGCUUUGCGCAGUGGCAGUGUCAUAGCCAAUGAGGUUUAUCUGAGGCACGAUUAUUGCUAAUUGAAAACACAAUAUUCUAGUGUCUUUCUGUUGUUUUUAAAUUUAAAUUGAGCCAUUUAAUAAUUUAA
rnacentral:snRNA from 1 species